rnacentral:rRNA from 1 species
AUGCGCCUCAAGGUCGACUACGCUGCCCUCGUCUCCGAGCACUACCGCGCCCAGGCGCUCCCGGCGUCCUUCAAGGACAUGCCAGAGGAGGCGAGAACCCAGAUCAACCGGUGGUUCGAGAGCGCAACGGCGGGCCGGAUCAAGGGCCUCCUGCCCGAGGGCUCCAUCAACGGCGCGACGCUGGCCGUCCUCGGGAACGCGCUCUACUUCAAGGGCGCCUGGUGCCGCAAGUUCGACCCCCGGCUCACCCUCGACGACACCUUCCACCUCCCCGCCGGCGGCAGCGUCCGCGCGCCCUUCAUGUCGAGCAGAGACCGCCAGCAGCACGUCGCCUGCCGCUCCGGCUACAAGGUCCUGCAGCUGCCGUACGCGCGCGGCCGGUACUUUUCCAUGUACAUCUACCUCCCGGACGAGCGCGACGGCCUGCAGAGCCUGCUGCACAGGCUGGGGUCCGACCCGGCGCUGCUGGAGAGCUCCACGACGCUGACGGCCCAGGUCCCCGCGGCCUUCAAGGUGCCCAAGUUCACCAUCUCGUGCAAGACGAACGCGACCGAGCUGCUGCAGGACCUCGGCCUGCGCCUGCCGUUCGCGCCCCUCGCCGCGGACUUCUUGGAGAUGCUGGAUUCGGCGGCGCCGCUCGUCGUGUCGGCCGUCUUCCACCAGUCCUUCGUCGAGGUGAACGAGGAAGGGACGGAGGCGGCCGCGGCGACCGCCGUUGUUGCGUCCUUUGGCGCCGCGGCGGUGAGGACGCCGGUUCAGGUCGUGGACUUCGUGGCCGACCACCCGUUCAUGUUCUUGAUCAAGGAGGAGCUCAGCGGCGUCGUGGUUUUCUCCGGCCAAGUGGUCAAUCCGUUGGUUCCA